GUUUAUUAACACAUCAGAACUGGAAUACAAAAAUUAAAAGAAGUACUUCUUUUUAAGGAAGUUGUUGACUUGUAACUUGCAUUUCAUUUGACUGGAACAUCUGUUUAAUAUUUAGUCACAAGCUUUAAAAUGAACCAAAAACCAGAACACACCUUUCUGAGCCCUUUAUGAAUUCCUGGCAUAUCUUUUGAUUGUCCAGUUUAUUUGUUCUGUCUUUGUGAACAUGGCAUACAGCAACGCUGUUAAGGCAGUUCUGGGACAUUGAGGAGCGAAGCCAUGUCUUCAGCCACCGGAGAGCACUAAAGCUUCUCUCUGCCUCAGCUGAUGAUGCUGGAACCACAAGAAGCAAGCGCACCAGUGUCUCCACUUGGUUGAAGAGCCCACGAACCUCAGGGCUUAUGUAGCAGUGGUUUCUUUUGAGCCAGCUGGCCAGAGUAGGAUCACUCUCUGUCAUGAAGAGAAGAAGCUGGUGGAAAUUUCCUUCCUCUUGGCUGUGCCCCCUCAGAGGCAAGCCCUGUUGGGUCAGGUGUCUGUGGACUUGAUUCUCUGGAUGUUGUUGGCUGUACUGAUUGUUCCUGCUCUCUAAAUGCAACAGUCUCCCCUGCCUCACCCAAGAUUUUCCAUGCUGAUGACUGUGCAGUAGAAGUGGAGUAGACCUCCUGUCAGAAAACAUCUCCAAGGUGCUACGAGUAUGAAUCCAAUGACAAGUACAAUCAAACACAACAGAUAAGUAUCGACAAAAGUAUUCAGCUAAUCAACAAACAAUGCUCAAAAUAUCAAAAUCAAUUGCACUGGCAAUAAACCCAUAAACACACUGCUUAACAAUGACAAUUUGUACCUCCUCCUCGUCAAUUCCCUGCCUUCUUCAUCACAGUUACUUUAUACAUUGCAUGCCACAUACAUAACCGAUUUUAGCUAGCUGCUGAACAAUAUCCCAAUUAGCAUUAGUCUAAAAAACGAAAUAUAAUACAUAAAACACUCGACAUGUCGACAAAACAUAAACAGAACAUCUUCCCAAACACAUAUCAAGCUUAUUUAAAAAGCUCGAAAGCAUAAACACUCAUUCAAAGUACCUGGAAAAGGGAGAUGGUAAUAACCAUAACCAUAAGUUCCUGCCUCCUCAGCACGAGCUGACCGAUAAAUCUAACACACCAAGAGAGGCGGGACUUAAGGCAGAACAGCCAAUCAUCAGCCGGUCACACUCAAAGCCGGUGUCACGUUUGAGAGGGAGGGAGGGGAGGCAGCCGCAGCGAGCGCAGACACAGAGCGGCCGGCCAGAGAAACGGAGGAGCGACUGCUGUAAGGCAUUUGUGCAAAACUGUGGAAAAACUGCAGAAAAAGUGCGGGUGUUGAACUCUCUCGCCGGGAAAAGUGUGGGUGUUUCCCCACGGGGUUUACACUUUAAGAUUACGGCAGCUCCAGAUUGGAUACAGCAUCACUUGUGAAGACUUCAGAUGAUGGCAACUAGAUGGACAUACAAAACUGACAAAUAUGUAGGAGCUGAUAGCCUCAUGCGCAGUGCUCUGACACAUGGCGUGAUUGUGCUCUGGGCGACCCGAGUUCGAUUCCCAGCUCGUGGUACUUUCCCAACCCCACCCCCUUCUCUCUCACACUUCGCUUCCUGUCCUCUCUCAUACUAUACUGUACAAAUAAAGGCAAAAAACCUGCCAAAUAUUGUAAUCACUGCCUAUGAAAGUGUAAGUUUGCUGAUUGUCAGUCCACUUUGUAUUGUUACAAUAAUGGCCGUAAAUGUAAAUGGACAAUGUUUACCCUUAUUUUUACCCUUAUUACUUGUCCACAAAAAAAUUGCCGGAUAUGGGUUGAAAAUCUGCAAACUUAACCUAUAAUAAUAUUGCCUGUUUAACUGAACAUUACUUUAAACACAUGACUUGUAUUAAAGGAUUAAAGUAUAAAGGAUAUAUUUUUUGAUUGUAACAUUGAAACAUGCAUUUUUAAGCUGUUUUGAAAUUAUAUGCAUUGUUAAGCUCUAUACCCUUACGACAGCUAUCCUGGGUUUUACUAUGGUAACACUGCAACCAUGUAAUCAUAUGUUUUUUCUUGUUUUCAAAUCAAGGUUUUAAAAAUGGUUCUGAUGCUUUUGAAACCAUGGUGAAAUUACUACAACAUGUAGGUUUUCUAUAUGUUGUAGUAAUGUCUUAGUUAUUGUGGUUUUGCUACAACAAUCAAUCAUUGUAGUAGAUUUUGUAUGGUCUUACUGCAAAUGCUGUAAAAAACAUGGAUAACUUCCAUAUGGGUACAAAUACUGUAUUUGUGUGUUGGUCUGAUAAAUGUAAUGCAUUUGUAUAUUUAAUCUGUUAAAAUAUUAAAUUUGCAGUUGUUAUUGAACAUUGGUUUUUGUGUUGAAUGACAUUUUGGUUAGCGUGAUUUAACGAUUAUAAACCGCGGACCGACUGUGGGCCGCCAGCAAACAUUA